rnacentral:rRNA from 1 species
CUACGGGGCGCAGCAGUAAGGAAUAUUGGGCAAUGGACGCAAGUCUGACCCAGCCAUGCCGCGUGCAGGAUGACAGCCCUACGGGUUGUAAACUGCUUUUAUACGGGAAAAAUUCCCUGGUCGUGCACCGGGGUUGAUGGUACCGUAAGAAUAAGCAUCGGCUAACUCCGUGCCAGCAGCCGCGGUAAUACGGAGGAUGCAAGCGUUAUCCGGAUUCAUUAGGUUUAAAGGGUGCGCAGGCGGAAUGAUAAGUCAGUGGUGAAAUCCUACGGCUCAACUGUAGAACUGCCAUUGAUACUGUUGUUCUUGAGUACAUUUGAAGUGGGCGGAAUGUGUCAUGUAGCGGUGAAAUGCUUAGAGAUGACACAGAACACCGAUUGCGAAGGCAGCUCACUAAACUGUAACUGACGCUGAGGCACGAAAGCGUGGGGAUCAAACAGGAUUAGAUACCCGGUAGUC